GAUGAACGCUGGCGGCGUGCCUAACACAUGCAAGUCGAACGGAGUCGUUUUGGAAAUCUCUUCGGAGAUGGAAUUCUCGACUUAGUGGCGGACGGGUGAGUAACGCGUGAGCAAUCUGCCUUUAAGAGGGGGAUAACAGUCGGAAACGGCUGCUAAUACCGCAUAAAGCAUUAAAUUCGCAUGUUUUUGAUGCCAAAGGAGCAAUCCGCUUUUAGAUGAGCUCGCGUCUGACUAGCUAGUUGGCGGGGUAACGGCCCACCAAGGCGACGAUCAGUAGCCGGACUGAGAGGUUGAACGGCCACAUUGGGACUGAGACACGGCCCAGACUCCUACGGGAGGCAGCAGUGGGGAAUAUUGCGCAAUGGGGGAAACCCUGACGCAGCAACGCCGCGUGAUUGAAGAAGGCCUUCGGGUUGUAAAGAUCUUUAAUCAGGGACGAAACAAAUGACGGUACCUGAAGAAUAAGCUCCGGCUAACUACGUG
rnacentral:rRNA from 1 species